GGCCCCUCUAAGAAAAUGUGUAUUUAAAGGAACAGGAAAGUAAUUAUUUAAAAACUUUCAUUUUUAUUUUAUUCAUCUGAGACAUGCACUCCAAACAGAACCAGAAUGCUCUGCUGAGGCAUCUUCAAGACAAGUAUCCUGUACCCAUCAGCUUAGCCCCUUAAACAUACAGGGCUGGGCUUAUGCUGUAGCAACAAUCGCCCCCAAGUCUCAGGGGGUGAUGGAUUCAAAUACUUGCUGUGUAUUAACUUGGACGCUUCUCAUUUUUUUUCUCAUGUGAGGUUCACUGGAGGUCCAGGUGGCCCCCAAGGGCAGUGUCCCCAAGUGGGGGCUCCAUGCGGUGUGGGCCUUGCAGCACUGCUUCUCCCCCCAUCAUCAGAGUGCAGGGCAGAGGGCCCUGGAGCCCCUGAACCUGCCGUGAAAUGCUGCAGUGAAGUGGCACACGAUGCCUCUUUCAUCCAUACCAACCUCUAGAGCGUGUCCCACAGUCCCAUGUAGCUUCAAGGGCACACGGAAGCAUCAUGCUUCUGUUUCUAGAAGUGAAACGCUGGGUGAUCAUUAGUCAAAUCCAUUUCACCCGCAUUCACUAAUCAAGGGCUGGCACGUCCUCCAAGCAGCACGGGGCCUGAACAAUAUGUUUGCCUGGCGUGUUGUUUCCAGGGACUUGGAGCAGCUGUGCCUAGUUCGUCCUGAGCUAGUGAAGACUGGCCGGAACCCUCCAACUAGGCAGGCGCCUGUGUCCCCUUGGCGACCUUUUGAGGUCAAAGGGCUAUAAGCUCCACCCUCAGCUCACGCUAAACACCUUCGUUUUUGAACACGUGUCCCGUGAAGCCCGUGGCUUAGUUACGCCUGCGCAGAAGGAUGAUGAGGCACCUUUCUCCAAUCACCGGUCCCGGCGCUGCCCACGCUCAGCCCGCCCUGCGGCUUUAUUCCCCAACCCAUAAAUAGCCCAGCCCCUGCUGCUUGCAGGGCUCGGGCUGCUUCUCUUGUCUCUGCGCCUGGCUGGUCUUUUUGCUGCAAGUCGCUGGGUCUCGGGGUUUGGGCUUGCUGUGCGCCAGGCAAAGCGAACCUGGUGCCGUAGCAGAAGUGGUGGGAAAUUCGCAGGGGCGGUGAAAGCUUCUCUCGAAUCCUUCUGUCAAAUCUCAAAUUCUUCUCUCAAAUCCUUUCCAAGCCAAAUAACUGCCUGCUAGAGAAGAAUUCCACAGCCACUAGUGGAGAACUGAACUUUAAAAAGUUUUUUUUUUUAAUCUUUCUCUAAAGAGAUGCUAGGGUGGGAGUGAGCCCCUGGGUCGGUCUGUGACUAGAGGCAGGUCUGGGGGCGCCUGGAGGCUGCCCCACAGCACCUCUACCACCAGCUGGAGAGAGGAGGCCAGAGUGUCUGACCCAGUUGCCGCGGGAAUCCCAACUCAACAGCCUCCCUGCCCCCUGCCCGUCGCCAGCUGAGCGACUGGGCGGCCACUCCCAUUUACCUGGGUUUUUGCCUGACUUCCCCAAGUAGGGUUUUUCUUCUCUCUUCCCUGCUCUACCCCUAAUGAGUACCCUUUGAGCGAAUUCUUCAAGCCUCCUUUCUCUGCUGUACCUCCAGGAGGUACCCUUUAAGUGAGCAAAUGCCCUAAGCCUCAGUUUCCCUGCUGUACCCCCAAUAAGCACCCUUUGAAUUUCCUAAGCCUGUUUCUCUGCUGUACCCCUGAUAAGUACCCUAAAAGUGAACGAAUUCCUCAAGUCAGUGUCUCUAUCUCUAGUUAGCGACCUUUAAAUGCGUGACUUCUUCGAGCUUCAGUUCCCCCUCUGCCCUGUGUGUUCUUCUAAAAGUCGCCCUGAGAAAGUGAGUCUUUACAUUUUUGAAAAUGCUUUGCAAAUUAGAGUCCUGUGCAGGGUGUGAGUUUGUGCACACAUGGGGACCAUGAUGAGAAAUCAGCUUGUUUUUCUGCUCCCAACACACAUUUGCUUGGGAAACUUAGAUUGUUUUUCAAGCUCUAUGCCUUUCAGAAGCAACAGUCCACUUCAUACUGAACCCAGCCCUUCCUUUCUUGGAGCUCAACUUUUUACUGAGUGCAAACCCCAGGAAUCUUUCUGCUUCUCUUUUCCCGACUUUCUUGCAUGCCCACUGCUGGUCCUAUCAUGGUGGCAGCAGCGGCUGCAGCAGCGGCUACAGCUGCCCAGGUCAUCAGGGACACAAUGGCACGCUAUUCAAAGGGGAGAGCUCCUUUGCCCCAGCAUGCCCAGCAACAGCUGCUAAAUAGCCUCUUCUGGGGGCGAUAGGCAGGCAGGUCACAGGCCCCAGGGCAAAGCGAGCACUAUGGCCUGGGAUGAAAGGCAUGGAUGGACUGAGCUACAUAACUUGCCUACUUGCUGACCAGACAUGGACUAAGCCCUAGGCAGUGUUGUAGGUAUUGACAAAACAGUAGUGGGACAACUAGAAAUCCCUGUCCCCGUGAACUGGGGGUUGCACUUGGCUGUUUCCUAGGGCUGGCUCAGAUGACGACAAACUUAGCAGCUGAACCAUCACACACUGACCUCUUACAGUUCUGGGGGUCGGGAAUCCAGAAGGGGUCUUACAGGACUAAAAUCAAAGUGUCGGCGAGCCUGUGGUCCCUUUGGAGGUGCUCGGGGAGAAGCUGUUUCCUGGCCUUUUCCGGCCCCUGGAGGCUCCUUGCAUUUCUUGGCUUUGGGGGCCUUCCUCCAUCUUCCAAGCCUGCCCCCUGACUCUUUUCCCCUCCACUCUCAAGGGCCUGGGCUUCCAUUGGGUCCACCUGGAUAAGCCAGGCCAGGCUCCCACUCCCAAGGUCGGCUGAUGAGCAACUUAAACCCCUCAUUGCUAGGGAAGGCGACACAGGUUCUGGGAACUAGCACAUGACGUCUUUGGGUGGGGACUUAAUCUUGCCCACCUCGCUCCCGCACACUCAAACCUCAACCCAUUCCGUGUGUUAACCUCAGUCCUCACACCGCAACUAGUCCCUAUUUGACAUAUGUGGCCCAAGGUAGCAGCGUCUGCCCUGGAAGCCACAGGCUCAAGCUUGCCUAGCACAGCAUCUGACCCAAGCAAGAGAAAGCUCUAGGCGGUGUUACUUCCCAUCACGCCAGCCGUUGGAAUUUCAGCAGUUGUUUAAAAUUAAAGGGCAAUGGGGAAUAAUCUGCAUUUGGAGGUUACUGAGGAGGGAAAGAAUUUGUUCUGCUCCAGUCCUACCUCUAGAACAAACCUGGGCGGGGAGGUUACUUUAAAUCCAUCCAUUUACUUGUUCCUGUGACAAAUACUGAGCACUCAUGCGCCAUGACGGUAUCGCUCUAAGCCUUGUUGUGUCCUAGCUUAUGUAACCUUUACUGCAAUGCUGGGAGGCGGGUGUUCCGAAAAGGUCUCUCCCCUUUUACAGAUGUGGAAACUGAGGCAGAGAGCGAUGAAGUCACCGCUUCUCUCCCUUCACCCACUCUGCUGGCCAUACUACCUCCCUGCCAAGCAUGCAUGUGCAAAGCUCCUGCCUCAGGACCUUUGCACCAGCGGCUCCCUCUGCCUGGAGUGGCUCUUCCCCUCAGUCUCGGCCUGGCUCUUUAUUACCUGUAUGUGUGUUCAUGGGGCUGUUCAGAGACACCUUUCCCAAUGCCUCUGACAUAACUUGCCACGCUCCUAUCACAGUCACUAUUACUGGUUUUAAGACACUGGGUUCCAACUGACGGGAGGCUCCAUAGUUGCUUGUCUUAUGUUCUGUCUCAUGGAGGGCGAGUUCCAUGAACGAGGGCUCAGUAGGAUCUAUUCUAUUCUAACCCCUGUGUCUGACACAUAGCUACUCAGUGCAUGUCUGCAGCAGACAAAGGCUAGGAAGGCCUAGCCCCCAAUGUGACUAUUUGAAGGUGGGGCCUGGGAGAAGCUCUUUAAGAUUAUAAAUGAGGUCAUAAGGGUGGGGCCCUGAUCCGAUAGGACUGGUGUCCCUCUUGGAAGAGGAGACAGCAGAGCCCUCUUCCUCAUGCGCAGAGGGAAGGCCGGCCAUGCUCCUUCUGGAAGGAGUGCCUUGCUCCUGACAUGGGCAGGGUCCCUUGAAGGGAGAAGUUCAAGAUCUCUGACACAGGACACUGGAACCAUGGGGGGGCGGUGUCAUACCUUGAAGACACAGGCCCUGUCUUAGAUGGAGGCAGAAUCACCCAUCUUUGCAAGGAGAGAAGAGGAAACCUGUUCUCAUCUGGGGGCCAACACAGUGGCUGCUCUUUCUCUGGGGCCAGCUGGGGAGUCAGGGUGGGCAAGGCUAGGGAAAAGCGUUUCUCUUGGCUCUCGGGAAAUCUGUCAAAGGGAGACACCCCCCAGUCCAAGGCCUGUUUCACACCUUCUGUCCACACGCCCGCCCCAGCAGAUUUGGCCCCGGCACGGGUGCCUCUAAGGGGGGGGGUAGUAGCUCCAGAGCCAUCCCCACACCCACCAGCGUGACCGUGAGCUCCCCGGACCUCGGUUUCCUCAUCAGCAGAGUGUAAUUCCUCCUCUCCCAAAGUUGCCCUGCAGCCUGUGGUCCGGAUUCAGUCUGGGGCUGUCAGUUUUCUGAACGAAGUGUGCAGGCGGAAGGGACCAUGAAAGGGGAGUUACGGCGCUUAUGCUUGAGGCCCAGCUGUGCCACCUCCUAGCAGGGUGACUGCCUGUAUCUUUGCCAAGACUUUGGUUUCUUCACUGGUAACUUGGAUACUAAUUACAUCUGUCAGUGGUCACUGACUUGCCAUGACACUCAAAUGAAAUUCAUCUCUACUCACGAGACCCUCACCUGUAGACCCGAGACGGCAGUUCCUCACCAACUAGAACGUGUGAACUGAAGCGCAUCCGGAAUCGACGUGGCAUCUCUCCCAGGGUGACACAUACACUUCCCAUCGUGUUCCACUGGCCAGAGGCAGGCACACGGCCACCUUCAAUUCACAGGGUGACAAGGGUCAAUCCUACUAUGUACUCGACCCCAACACUUACCUUGGAAAGGUUGCUUCAUUUCUGUGUCUGUUUCCUCACUUGUAAAAUGAAAACAGAUACAGUACUCUUUUCAGAGCAUUAAUAAGUGCAGUAAAUAAAGUGUUUAGAACGCUGCCCAAAGUCUCGCUGGGAUGCUGACGUUGCUGAUGAUCUGUAUCUGUAACGUAUUGUGUACGUUUCCGAGCUGUCUGCUUUCCUGCCAUUUAAGCAGCUGAAUUUUCAACACUAAUAGAAUAUUUCAUUGUAUUCUGUUGCUUUAGUGUGAAUAUACCUAUGUAAUGUAAUACCAAAUACACACCCAAACCACUUCUGUUUCCAUGAAGACUUUGAGAGUUUUAUUGCCUUUGGCCUGAGGCUACAGCGCGAUUUAUAGCGCAGCUGGUGGGUGCAUGCUAGGUAUUUCCUCAUGUGAGCGACAGGAGAAAGGGGUUUUCAACGGGCCGGGCCGUUUUGGCUCAUGGACUCGGUAGCCCUUGGCGGUCUGAUGUCAGAGGCGAUGUGAAUCGGGGCGCUCAGAUGCUUGAACGGUGACACAGCUGGAAACGAGGAGUCUGUCUUGGCGCCUCUGGAAUAAGUACUGUCGGCUUCUCCGACACUGCAGUCUACUGUGGUUCACUCCGCGAAACCGAGUAUUCAUCCCUGACGAGCACGGGUUUUUGGGAUCUCCUCCCUCGUAGCCACUAAUGUCUAUUGCCCUCUUGAUAAUUAGUCUCUGCAGUAUUAACGGGCAGCUUCAUGCCCAUCCAGCACCCCCCCCCAAGUCCCCAUUGAUGGUGGGUCAUCACUUGGUCGAUACGGUUUUUUUUUUUUUUAAAUAAGCAGCCUUAAUUGAACCCCUAAAAUGUCUUUACUCUGAAUCCAUUAAGGAUAUACUUAUCAAAUUGGAAGUGUAUUACCUCCUUAAAUUACCUUGACAACAAAAUCAAUAGUUUAUUUAACCGGAGUCAAGAAAAAGAAAAGGGGGGAAAAAAUGCCCUGAGGAAUUUGUAAUAUCUUUUACUUGCAAAGAAACAAUGGGGCGGAAAGAAUCGCGGUGUAAAGCAAGGAAUACAAGUGGCUUGGAGAAAUGGGCACCUAAUUUAGUAUUCAUGCCUCUGUGCCUUUUUAUAAGUGACUUCUUACAAGUUUGCUUUUCUGAGCAAGCCUUAGGAAUAAACUACUCCUGACACUUUAACAGUGACAGUGGUUGGAGUUAUCACACGUCUUAUUAACAUUUCCUUCACCAACUAUUUGAGAUCAUUAAAGAAAAACUGGGCUGCUUAUUAAUGCCUCCGCAUUGGAUUCCAGGGGGGAAAGUCUGAUCUAAUUCAGACCCAAGCUCCCUGUGUGCAUUUUGCAUUUCCACUGGCUCAGGAUUUUCUGCCUCAGGUCACAGCUCAAUCUGUACCGAGGAGAAAAUGACAGUUUCCCAUAGUGACAGUCGCAGCCCAGCAUCCUAUAAGACCUGAACCCUCCUAUCAGCUGAUCUGCUGGCACUUUGAAAGUAGCCAAUGGCAGGCAGGAGGUACCUUUCUUCCAGAAAGGCUGUUGGAUUGAGUCUAAAUGCAUGAGAAAACCAGAGGGUUGGUUUCCUUGCCAGCUUCCAAAUCUCUCCCGUGUGCUUCCCUCUUGGGGCUACGCGUACCGGUCCCAGAAGUCCUAGAAUUCUCGAGGUAGGUGAGAACUGGAAUCCUGGUGCUCAUCUCGUCUUGCUCAUUUGUGUACGUUCUCCUCGCCUAUUUCCUGAGCGCUUCUCUAGCGCCUGGCCUUGACCUGGGCUCCGUGGUGACAGUGAACAGGGUGGCUAUGCACUGUCUAGUGUAAUCAGAAGGAAAAAAGAUCAACAAUCACGUAAAACAAGAUCAUUUCAGGUGACAAGUGCCAGGAAGCAAAUAGGACCGAAUAUUGUGCUACAGUCCUAAUAACCAGCAUCCCGAAGCUUCUGGGGCUCCCCUCAUUCCAAAAACCUGAUUCAGAUUUGUUUCACCUGGUGACCUUCCAUAGCUUUCCAAUAUAGCUUCUUUUUUUGGCUGAAGUACACUCUAGAGCCAGUUUCUCCUCUUUGUAACCAAAUGGCUCAAUGGACACAGUCAAUUUAGGAAAUAGUCGGGGUUUCCCUGAUCAGAGCUGCAAGUAAAAUUGAGGUGAAAACAUCACACAAGAGAAAGGUGAGGCCUUUCCUGCUCCUGGGAGAUGCUUGGUUCUGGCUGCACUUCCCGUGUUUGGGGGCAUUUCCCUUCUCUUAGCCACCAUCCCAGCUCCAAUCUGGAAGCUGGAACCUGGCUUUGUCACCCUCUCCUGCAGGGAGAGAGCUGUCACGUAAUCAGACUGCCAGUGGGGCCCCCACGUGGAACUUCCCUAGAAGAGCAGCCGUGAUGUAGAGAAGCAGGGUUGGGUGGUGACUGUCCCGGGGACAGGGGCAUCGUGACUUGUUUUGAAAGGCAGCUGUGACCAAAGUGCUGGAAUCCAGAGCUUGGGGUCCACACUGGACCAGUUUCAGAGUCACUCGGAUGUUACCCUCGGCUGCAUGGACUCCAUGAGGCCUGAUGUACUGUCCCUCCCAGAGAGUCUGGGAGCUUCCCGACAUCGCUCGCUAAAUUCCUUUCCUGCUGAGAGUGGACCCCAGCUGCCCAGACCCCCGACAGAUGUAUCAUCAGAACUUUCUGCUCGACAUGCUCAUCCUCCCCUGUUGGAACACCUGGGGGGCCCUGCAGAGCCAUCACCCAGGUGGGUGACAUGGAGGCGGCUUUCCUUGUCACCUCCCUGCAGCAGCUGACAGACUAACAGAGCCGAAAACGUUGAUUAUUUUUUUGCUUCACAGCAUGAAAACUGGUUUGUAAAUCAAGGGCGCGAGUCCGUCUGUGAACAGGUGCCCACAAAUGCUAAAUGUUCCAAGUUGGUGGACAAGCCCCCCGCCUCCCAGAGGGUUCUAAAGCGUUUCCUGGGGUGGGGGGAGGGCUGGUCCCAUAUGGGGAGACUAUGCCCUGAACCCCAUGAGAAGUGAAGAAGGUUGGGGUUUGGGGGCAGGGGGGAUGAAGAGCUGGGACAAAGAGAAUGAGGCUUCCCCAGCCCCUCCUGAUUGUCCAAGAGCUGCGAUCUUCUGUAGUCCUAGAAUCCCGGAGCUUUAUCUGGUCACUCGGAACACAUUUUGGCUACCCUGGAGGUGCGUGGCCAGAUCACUAAGUUCUGGUCAGGGGACCAUGCGCUUAGGUGCUGUAUUCCAACUCUGGGAGGUACCUUAAGGCGAGAAAGCGUUCCCUUCCCGUCGCUGCUUCCUGGUUCCUGCGUUGAACUAACUUUCCCUUUGCUGGUGUGAGGCGAUAUCAUUUUAAUGCUUGGAAGUCUUUCAUCAUCACUGCCGUGAAAACAUGCAUCAGCUCUAAAAUAGAAAUUUGCACGUGUCUGUGACUGUAACACUCGAGAUAUUUAAUACACGGGUCUAUUGCCGUCGUGAGUAGUGCAGAAUUGAACAAAGCAUAGCUAUUGUGGGCGGAGCGGAUUUUUCAAUUAAUUUGCAUAUUCACGAAUAAAGGGACAAGUUUUAGCAUCGAUGCUAUCCCCCGCCUUUAAAAAUUUUUUUUAGUGUGACAGAUGUAAGCAUGGUGAACUUGAUCAUGUGAAUAGAUGGGCCCUGAAGAGCUUCUGUUACGUCACUCGCCUCUUUUGACUGCCUUCCCCCGAAAUGGGCUGCCUUGCCUUCUGGCUUUCAAGUGAGUUUGCCAGUGGCUGGGAGAACUGUUAGCAAAUCCAGUCUCGAGGUUAACAAGUUCAGAACUCGCAGAUGUUGAUGGAAAGGAAGGGUUCAUCAGAAUGCUGGCCGUCUGGGGAGAGGGUGGACUCAAUGUCCCCCCAAAAACCACCCGCGUAGAUUCUGCUCGGCCAUGAAACGGGAAGGAAGGAGGGAAGUGCUCUGGGAAUGAGACGGGAGUCCGUCGUUGCCAUCCCCGCUGUGUGCAGCGCCCCCACUCCUCCGUCUUCCUCUAGAUGUUCUCGUGCUCAGUUUGCUGGGGAGCCGGGGAAGAGAGCUGGUCAUCUGCUACCUCCUCAAGCGAGGAAAGGUGGUGUGUGAUGGAAAGAUUUGAAAUGUGUGGUUAGGCUGGAGAAAAACUGAAGCUCCCAGAAGGGCAGUAACUCAUCCAAGGUUGCACAGCUGGCACAGGGCGGAGCAGAAUGUGCCCACCAGAACCCUCAUCUAGCUAUUCGAUGUUUGAGCUUUUUUAAGGGAACAUCAUUGCGGUUUUUCCAAUGAACACAAUCAGCAAAGCCCUGCCCUAGUGGGUGCGUCACCGCAGUCCUACUGAAAAGGACGUGCUCGGGGGCCUUCCCAAGCACCGCUGGCUUUGCUAAACACCUCAGGUCUUCACCCCUGCCCAGCUCACACUCUGAGAUCCAAGUCACGACUUCAAUAUCUGGGCCUGGCCAGAGGUGGAACAAUGUUGGCGGAUAGCCAGGAGGCUCCUGGCGAGUUUCUUCCUCUCCCACCCAUUUUUCCUGCUUCCCGGUUAGAUCAGGGUGUUGCUGAGCUCUGACUGCUCUAAGUUUGGGACUGGGGCAGUUGCGGUUCCUACUGGCGUGAAAUGCCUUCCUCCUUUGGGGACGGCCCUCCAGGUUGGCUUCCCCCACAGUCUCAUUCGGCAGAGGCCCCACUUGUGACCCCAGGGCUGUCAUCCUUGCCCAUCCAGGAGCUGCUCUGAGAACCCACACCUUUCCGAGUCACAGUCCCGGGAACACCCCCACCCCCAGGCUGCCGUCGGCUCCGGACGUUUUGAGAUGGGAUUGAGCAACUGUAACGAAAGCGGUUUCCCAGCACAAGAUGAAAAUGUGGGCCCUCUGUUCAAAGAUCAGGAAUUUGAAGACGGCAGAGAAUGAAACCAAGCUGGAUCCUGCGAAACACAGCCCCGCGAGGCUGCUCAGGGUGCCUGCCCCGGAUGCCAUGCUGUUCGCAGGGUCCUGUAACGAACUCAUCACGAGGUGAAGGCAGGUUGUGUGUAUUUGGAAAAUGAUUACAGGCCUCAUUCUACAUUUAUCUCGACUGCGGGAGUCCCAAGCAGGCAGGCCACAUGUAGCCGACCAAAACCAGAGCCCAAGGCUGCCCAGUGUGAAUGUAGGAGGAGACGCAGACGUGCCCAUGAACUUAAGGGCUGUGUGUGCCACUCAGGAGACCAACAACGUAAAAGAAACAAACAAAACGACCCCUCCCAAACCCUCCAGCUUCCGAGCAGCAUUUUCACACACCCUACUGGGAAGGCAGCCUCUAUUAUCCAAAUCCCAGUGAAAUGGCUCGCCGCUUGCCAGGUGCCCUAAUGUUUUCCUAUCUUUCGAUUAUCGAUAACUUGAGUUUUUUAACACUCUGUGUGCGGGUGAUGCCGUGAGGGCUGCGGCGAGCCGAGAACAGGUCAGGGAGGUGAGCUUACACAGGGCCAUGGAUUUUGCUUUGCUUUUUAUUCCAGGUGGCUUCAGGCAGGGAUAGGGGGAGCCCAGGAAGGGAGAUAAAGUUCUCCGAGGCCAUCCCUUCUGUUAGCUAGAAGAGAACCGAGAAACUUUCAUUUCAUCAGAAUUUUUCUUUUUUAAAUCACUUAAAGAUGCGCAGACUCCAACAGCUUCUCCUGACCUCCAGCCACGGGCAUCCAUAGCCGUGGCCUCGGAACGGCUCUUCCCACUUCCCUCCCUGCUUUCUGGGCCACACAGAAGCCAGUCAUCUUAAAAACCAUGAGCUAGUUUUACACCCCUGCUUAAGAUGUUCGCGUGAGUUCCACCGGCACUGGAACAAACGCCACACGCAUUCGCGCCGUCCACCCGGCCCUGCUGGGUCCGGCACUUGCCAUUGCCAUGCCCUCCCGGCCCGCCCUUGACUCCAAGUUUACCUGCGCAGCCGUGUUCGUUCUUCACAGGUCCUUGAACCAGUCAAGUCCGUUGGAGUUUCAUGGCCUUUGCCUCUGCUGUUUCCUGUCUGGACUGAGCUUUCCGCAUGUGGAAAUAAGCAGAAUAACUGCUCGCCCAUGUGCCUGCUCUCACCCUGGGGCCUGGGGAGAAAAUGAGGUUCACCUGGGUUGCUUGGGUGGCCCCAGCAUAACCACAUGAGCCUUGAAAAGAGAAGACUGAGGCCCAGAAGAAACCGAUGUGCUCUUGCUGGCUUGGAGGUGGGAGGAGCCGCAUGGGAAGGCAGUGAAUUCUGUGGGCAUCGGUGAGCUUGGGAGAGGCCCCAAGCCCCAGGUGAGAGGCACAGCCCUGGCCAGCAGCUUGGUCUUAGCCCCGUGAGGCUCUGAGCAGCAAAGACCCGUCUUCUGGCCUCCAGAUCAGACAUCUCACAAGUGUGGUGUUAAGAGUUGCUGCAUUUGUGGUCAUUCGUUGGAGCAGAAACAGUCUUGCUUCCUAUGUGUCGCUGCGACCUACAUCCCCGUGUGGUUUAUGGUAGUGGAUCGACUUGGAGCUACAGCUGCUGGCCUACAGCACAGCCAUAGCAACUGGGGAUCCGAGCCGCAUCAGUAACCUACACCA